rnacentral:rRNA from 1 species
AUCGCAGAGAUGGCUUAGUGCUCGAAAGAGAACCGUAACACAGGUGCUGCAUGGCUGCUCGCCAGACUCGAUGUCGUGAGAUGUUGGGUUAAGUCCCGCAACGAGCGCAACCCUUGUCAUUAGUUGCUACAUUUAGUUGGGCACUCUAAUGAGACUGCCGGUGACAAACCGGAGGAAGGUGGGGAUGACGUCAAGUCCUCAUGGCCCUUAUAGGUAGGGCUACACACGUCAUACAAUGGAUGGUACAGAGGGUUGCCAACCCGCGAGGGGGAGCUAAUCCCAUAAAACCAUUCGUAGUCCGGAUCGCAGUCUGCAACUCGACUGCGUGAAGUCGGAAUCGCUAGUAAUCGCGGAUCAGAAUGUCGCGGUGAAUACGUUCCCGGGUCUUGUACACACCGCCCGUCACACCAUGGGAGCGGGUUCUGCCAGAAGUAGUUAGCCUAACCGCAAGGAGGGCGAUUACCACGGCAGGGUUCGUGACUGGGGUGAAGUCGUCGUAACAAGGUAGCCGUA